rnacentral:rRNA from 1 species
GAUGAACGCUGGCGGCGUGCCUAAUACAUGCAAGUCGAGCGAACAGAUGAGGAGCUUGCUCCUCUGACGUUAGCGGCGGACGGGUGAGUAACACGUAGAUAACCUACCUAUAAGACUGGGAUAACUACGGGAAACCGGAGCUAAUACCGGAUAAUAUAUUGAACCGCAUGGUUCAAUAGUGAAAGACGGUUUUGCUGUCACUUAUAGAUGGAUCCGCGCCGCAUUAGCUAGUUGGUAAGGUAACGGCUUACCAAGGCAACGAUGCGUAGCCGACCUGAGAGGGUGAUCGGCCACACUGGAACUGAGACACGGUCCAGACUCCUACGGGAGGCAGCAGUAGGGAAUCUUCCGCAAUGGGCGAAAGCCUGACGGAGCAACGCCGCGUGAGUGAUGAAGGUCUUCGGAUCGUAAAACUCUGUUAUUAGGGAAGAACAAAUGUGUAAGUAACUAUGCACGUCUUGACGGUACCUAAUCAGAAAGCCACGGCUAACUACGUG